GCCAAAUUGGUGUCUUGAGUAGGUACCAAUAAGGAUACCACAUUUCGUAACAACAGUGUACUGAUCAUUAUCCCUUGUGCACCUGUAACUUAACACACAGAUGUCAGAUGGAGUUGAAUGAUUCGGAAAUGCGUGUAUAUUUUAGAUUCAGCUACAAUAAGAUAUAUACACUAUUGUCCAUCGUGCAGGUGAAUGCGGAGCAUAUCUGUGCUACAGUAGACGAAGCCAGGAUACAUAAAGUGCCACAUAUCCUGGCCCCACAACUCCUCUCCAAACACAGGAGAGACUGUGUCAGUGUUGAUAUGAGAGGAGCACACUGUAAACGUGCGCUCGACAGCCUUUGUAUUUCAGUGAGACUGUAGAUGUCACGUGACUUCAACCAGGACGCAAGACGUGUCGUGUGGUCUUGAGGGUGUUACACAUACAGAAUACAUCAUGACAACUGAUGUUGACAAUUGGCAAAGUGGGAAGUCCUUUCCAGAAACCAACCUGCACAUGUUGGACAGUUUGUUGUUGGCUGAUGUGACCUUCCUCGUUGGAGAUCAAAGGGAGACAAUCCAGGCUCACAAGUUCAUUUUAGUUAGCCGCAGUAGCGUGUUUCACGCGAUGUUCUGUGGAUCGAUCCCCGAGACGGGUCAAGUACUGAUUCCUGAUAUACAGAUAGACAACUUCAAGACCUUCCUAAGGUAUCUCUACACGGAUGAGGUGGAGGUAACUCCGAACACUGUCCUCGGGCUGAUGUACGCUGCUAGGAAAUACAACAUCACAGGGCUAGAAAAGCAAUGUGAGGAGUUUUGCUUACAAUCUUUGUCGCCUAGCAACGCAUGUUUAUUCCUACAACAAGCAACCCUGUUUGAUAAAGAAGACCUUAAAGAAAGAACUCUUAAAGUAAUUAAAUCCAAUGCCGAGGUGAGUGUUGCAAGCGAGGGAUUCCGCGAGCUAAGCAAGGAAUGUCUGAAGUUAAUACUGAAGGCAGAUGACAUGAGAGUUAACGAGAUUUGCAUCUUCCGAUCUGUGAUGUCGUGGGCAGAAGCUGAAUGUAGACGUGAGGGAAGGGAGGUAACUCAAGAAGAGAAAAGAGAAGUGCUGGGAGAGUGUUUGUUUCUCAUUCGCUUCCCAGCUAUUCCAGAGGUGAAAUUUGCCACAAUUGUUUGUAAUGAAGCUAUUUUAAGUGAUAACCAUGCCUUGAUGUUAUUCCGAAAAUACUCUAUAGGCGACCUGGAUAUACAGCCAUUCUGUGACAAAUCUCGUGUGCCUCCUGUUUAUAACUUGUCUCGCUUACCUCCUGACCAACAGUACCACCAAACCAUUUACCUUGAUAGAUGUCGAUGUGAUGCGUUGUAUAUAUCCUGUGAUGCCAGUGUUCACCUGACCGGGCUGAGCAUGUACGCUGGGAGCCUGGAAGACAGGGUAUCUGUAGACAUAGUUGUUACUGACAGUGAUGACACAACCCUGCUGAAGCAUCACCAGGACGUGGAUGUGACAGAGGGACAACUCUCAGAUGUGGUCAUGUUCCCUUCACCUCUGACUGUUGACAAAAGAAAGAAGAUAAAACUCAAAGUCACUAGGGAGGGCAAUAAACAUGAUGUAUAUACGUGUAUAAUGAACAAACAGCCUUUGAUGACACAUGAAACAUCAGGUGUUGUGUGGACACUGGAUCACUGUAAGGAGAGUCAAUCUAGCAACAGCCUAGACUAUGGAUUCAUCAGUGGGGUUUUCUACAACGUGUAGCGUAUUUAUAUAAGGCGGCUGAGAGACAACUCUCCUUCCAACUCUUCCGUCUAUGUACGUCAGUAAUGUUAACGGGUAUUAAUCACGGACAGCAGCACACAUAUAUUUGACCACUGAUGCUUAAUUCUUUUUCACACGAGUCGACAUGACUGUAUUUACAAGUUCUAUUUCCGAGGCAACUUUACUUACGUGCCUACUAGGAGAAACAGGUUGCUAAGAUCAUGACAUUUUCUGUAUAGUGCUCCAUCACUUUUACGUUGAUGACAAUAUUAUCAGCAGCUUGAUGACAUACCUUCAGUAGCAAGAUGUUUCGAUUGAAUGCAUAAACUGAUACUUGUUUUUGAGUAUUAUUUAUAUAGAACAAAGAGUAACCAUGUAUUUUAACCAAACAGGUUAUUGAGCUUACAGUAAAGGUGGACCAAGGGUUGACCUGUGAUUGAUUAGCUUUGCCACUGUGUUGGAAUACGUUUGUGACCAGGAUCAGGAAUGUGUUCGAUUGGAGGAAUUGAGUAUUUACCUAUUUUGCUUUGCCACAUAUAUGUUAGUUUGCCAGAUUAUAUUUGUCAAUUGUGUAAAUAUUGAGUAAUUGUAUGUUUUGGUUAUAAUUACAUGUUCUUAAUAGUGAAACUGA